AGUCCUUAUCACGACUACAUGAUAAUGCCAGUACUAGUAGUAGACUUCUUGCAAACGAUAAGAACUUCACCUGUAGGCAAUUUCUAACAUCAGAGAUAUGGUUAAUGACCUUUUCUAGACUACUGCACUAUUUCAAGAUGAAACUGACACAUAAACAAACAUAUCAGCUUCAAAUAUUCAUACUAGAUUGAGUCUGAAAAUAAAAGAAGUAAAUGUUAUACAGGGUCAAAGGACACAACAGUUUAAAUAUUCUUUUGGGAGAAAAACGUUAUAACUUCAGUGCGCUAUAAGUAGCAAUACUGAGCUUUUUCGAGGGAAUUAAGAAUGGAUUCUAUUAUUCCAUAUUCUUAUACAUUAUAGCUUGAGUUGUCAACCAGGUCAGGAAUGAAGACAUGCGGUUGAUGUGUCCAUGUGAUUAAGAUAAUCCCUGUUUACUUGUUGUUCCAGUGAUCAAAAGGUAAGUAUUUGUUCUUUCUAUAGAAUACAUCAUUUGUACCGUGUGAUCACAUAUCACGUAUUUUUUCUUCAUUUAAUUAAAAUGUAUUUUUUCUGUGUGUGAGGCUAUUUUGUCGUUUUAUCAGAAUGUCAGGAUGACAUGCGAGAGAGGUAAUGACAGUCAGCAGACCGGCCGGCACCUUGAAGAUCUUGUUUAAGUAUCUUGGCAGUUAUUUCACAGACGACAGCGAGAUAAACAGACGGAGACCCAAAUUCAGAAAGUCUGUACCCUUGCCAAGUGAAAAUAAAACCCACCACCAAGGGAGGCUAAGGGAGACAGCCCCGACAGAGAAACAGGUGACUGACACAACAUCUGGGUGGAAACUUCCCUUGAUGGAAGUACCAGCCGUGGCUACUGCCUGUUGGUCAUCUCGGGAAAGGAGCAGACCCUACAGAAAAGCAGGCAACUGUCCACUGGGAGGCUUUCUCUUGCUGGCCUCAGUUUACCCACGCUCAGUGCCCACGUGUUUCCACUACUACUGGCACCAGUUAAGGGAUGCGAAGAAGAAGAAUAGUAUUUACCAUCCAUCUUCCACGCACAGAGGGUAGUCAAAAAAUAGUCUCAUCAUCCUUUUGCCUUCUGAAUGUGCAGGAGAAAGGGGAGCUGAAUCUAUGGGCACAGAGAGAGAAAUAGGGAUGGGAAUGGGAGCGAGCAAGAGAGAGCUGCGUGUCGGAUGGUUCCACAGCCCCUUCAUUAAAAACUUUGUGUCCCAGUUGUCGAAAAUAGCUGUCAACCUGUCACCUAUAGAAGGAAGCACAAGACCUCAAAUAUUUCCCUAGUUCACGGAGGCUGUGCAUGAAGACACAAGAUUCAGCUGAAGCCACAGCCAAGUGGACAAUAACAUCACAGAUGGAAAAGUUAGGACAGAAAUCAGUUAGUACGAAACCCGAUUCUCCGGCUAGUAUAAAAAAAAUUUAGGGGGAAGGAGAUGCAAUAGAAGCGAAAUUAUUGAGUGCAGAUAAGUUUUUGCUGUCUCCGCUCCCUCUUUCAUCUCCGACUAAACGGCUAUGACUAACGAUCCUUUAAGAACUAAAGCCAGUCAUGCAAGCAGCUGCAGGUAGGCACAGACUGCAGGACAACUUAUCAGGAACACGCCGUAAAUAUGUGUCAACAUAUCUGUCAUACACAGGUCGACAUGCCUGCUAAGGUGGACCAGGUGUGGCAGAAAAGCGCAGUGACACAGAGCUAGCACAGCAGCUCUAGCCAUACUAGCAGUAGGAUGCCAUAUAAAACCGUGCGAGAAAACGACCCGGCGGCAGGUGAUAUGGUGAGCAGCCAUGCUUAUAAAUUUUGUAACUGGAGUUGACGAUUACAGUGCGUUUUAUGAAUGAGGAGGGGUGGGGGUACAAAAAUAAUGGUCCUCUCACCUCAUUAACUUCUCAAAUACAGUGAUUACAAUGAAACAUAUUAAAGGUUCUGUCACAUGCUAACCUGUUACUCCUUUCCUAUACAAGAAAACAUUACAGGAUUAUAUUAGAUAAUCGAGAAAUGAAAACGUGGCUUGGAGAAAUAAAAUCUUAAAUCGACUUCUUCAGAUUUGAAUAUUGCUCCAUGCAUUAAUUGCUUUCGUUUGUUAACAAUGCUUGUAGAUAAUGAACCAGACUUCUGGACAAUCUAAAAGGUCAAUUA